CAGGCCUGCUGAGCCCUCGCGCUGCACCUUCUGAAGCCCGGGCUCCGCCUCCUGAAGCCAGGGCGCCACACCAAGAGUGGCCCCCACUCGCUGCACCGAUCUUAGUUCCCUGACCAGGGAUCAAAUCCACAUCCCCUGCAUUGGGAGCACGGAGUCUUAACCACUGGACCACCAGGAAGGACCCUUCUUUAAUUGAUGGUGAUACAUGGAGAUAAAGACUUAGAGGCUGCUUUACUAAGUGGUAAGGAGGAUAACCACCCACAAUCUAGGAGCUAGAGCCUAGAAAGACGCUGGAGCAUUUCAACUGGGAAAUUACUGUGGGAGCCCAGGAGCUUUGAGGUGAAUUAUUCUGGCUCUGGAUACUUGAUAUUGGCUGUCAUGGCUGAAAAAGUUCUUCCAACAAUGUGCUAACCAAAAUGGAAAAAUUAUAUCUUUCACUGUGCUUUCAAAAUUGUAAUUGUCAUUGUUUAAAGUCAGACAUCUUGGAGUGAGAAGUCAAGUGGGCCUUAGGAAGCAUCUCUACCAACGAAGCUA